AUGCCGAUAAUUUCAGGGAGCGGCCACCGUGAUGGUGCUAUAUACAAGAGAGCGGCUUAUUGGGAACAUAAUUUCUUUUUUGAUAUCACCGUCCAGACAGAGACUCGGUUGGAGCCAACGCGUGCAUAUGAAAUGCCACGUAACAUGAUGCAGAUCUUCUCAAUGAAGUUAGCUAAAGCUCCUAUCAAUAGUGGCUCAAUACAUUUAUAUGGACAUAUAGCAGCACACGAUGAAGUUGAUCUAAGACUCAAUUAUGUUUUCAAUCGUAGCAGGGAUGAUCCCAUCAUCGUGCAACAGGGUUCUCUAAAUGAAAUGAAUGGUCCUAAGAGAGCCAUCCUGUUGAUAUUUGAUGUGCUACUUGAGUUUGACAUGAGGAUCAAGAAUGGGGAGAACGAAGAGGAUGAUUUACAACCGAUUGAUGGAAUCUCAGAAUUUGACGGUUUACUCAUGUCAUGGAGACCGCAUUGUUGGAAACUGUGGUGCAGUUGA
rnacentral:rRNA from 1 species